GGCCGCGGGAAUUCGAUUGGAUCGCCCUUAGAGUUUGAUCAUGGCUCAGAACGAACGCUGGCGGCAGGCCUAACACAUGCAAGUCGAACGAAGCCUUCGGGCUUAGUGGCGGACGGGUUAGUAACGCGUGGGAACGUGCCCUUCACUACGGAAUAGUCCUGGGAAACUGGGUUUAAUGCCGUAUACGCCCUUCGGGGGAAAGAAUUUCGGUGAAGGAUCGGCCCGCGUUAGAUUAGGUAGUUGGUGGGGUAAUGGCCUACCAAGCCUACGAUCUAUAGCUGGUUUUAGAGGAUGAUCAGCAACACUGGGACUGAGACACGGCCCAGACUCCUACGGGAGGCAGCAGUGGGGAAUCUUGGACAAUGGGCGCAAGCCUGAUCCAGCCAUGCCGCGUGAGUGAUGAAGGCCUUAGGGUCGUAAAGCUCUUUCGCCAGGGAUGAUAAUGACAGUACCUGGUAAAGAAACCCCGGCUAACUCCGUGCCAGCAGCCGCGGUAAUACGGAGGGGGUUAGCGUUGUUCGGAAUUACUGGGCGUAAAGCGCGCGUAGGCGGACCAGAAAGUUGGGGGUGAAAUCCCGGGGCUCAACCCCGGAACGGCCUCCAAAACUCCUGGUCUUGAGUUCGAGAGAGGUAAGUGGAAUUCCGAGUGUAGAGGUGAAAUUCGUAGAUAUUCGGAGGAACACCAGUGGCGAAGGCGGCUCACUGGCUCGAUACUGACGCUGAGGUGCGAAAGUGUGGGGAGCAAACAGGAUUAGAUACCCUGGUA
rnacentral:rRNA from 1 species